CCUACGGGAGGCAGCAGUGAGGAAUAUUGGUCAAUGGGCGGAAGCCUGAACCAGCCAAGUAGCGUGCAGGAUGACGGCCCUAUGGGUUGUAAACUGCUUUUAUACGGGAAUAACGCCCCUUACGUGUAGGGCUUUGCAUGUACCGUAUGAAUAAGGACCGGCUAAUUCCGUGCCAGCAGCCGCGGUAAUACGGAAGGUCCGGGCGUUAUCCGGAUUUAUUGGGUUUAAAGGGUGCGUAGGCCGCAUGUCAAGCGUGCUGUGAAAUGUCCGGGCUCAACCCGGGCCUUGCAGCGAGAACUGGCGUGCUUGAGUCCACGGAAGGCAGGCGGAAU
rnacentral:rRNA from 1 species